rnacentral:rRNA from 1 species
CCUACGGGUGACAGCAGUGAGGAAUAUUGGUCAAUGGGCGGACGACUGAACCAGCCAAGUCGCGUGAGGGAAGAAGGCCCUGUGGGUUGUAAACCUCUUUUGUCAGGGAGCAACGCCGGCUACGUGUAGCCGGACUGAGAGAACCGGAAGAAAAAGCAUGGGCAAACUCCGUGCCAGCAGCCGCGGUAAUACGGAGGAUGCGAGCGUUAUCCGGAUUUAUUGGGUUAAAGGGGUGCGUAGGCGGAAUGCCAAGUCAGCGGUAAAAUCGCGGGGCUCAACCUCGCUCCGCCGUUGAAACUGGCGGUCUUGAGUGGGCGAGAAGUAUGCGGAAUGCGUGGUGUAGCGGUGAAAUGCAUAGAUAUCACGCAGAACUCCGAUUGCGAAGGCAGCAUACCGGCUCCCCACUGACGCUGAGGCACGAAAGCGUGGGUAUCGAACAGGAUUAGAUACCCUAGUAGUC